GGAUGGCGCAGCACCCACGGCUGGGUACCCCCCUCUUGCCCCCACUCACUACACCCCACGUCCCCCUACAGCUCAGGAGGCGGCCCCUCCCUCCCAACAGAACGGGAACCCGGGGAUACCAGCCCGGCGAGAUGGAGGCAGGGAUUUGACUUGAAUUACCUGGAUAUUGCAGAGUGAGAUGAGUGAUCGGAAGAAGGGUUUUGGAAUGUUGAAAAAAUGAAUUAUGUUUUGUUUGUGUUGUUUAACAUUGAGAAUAAAAUUUUCCAUCCUGGCAACAUUUUGCUCUAACCAUCUCUUUAAGUAAGAGAUCACUUAGGAGUGAGCACAAAUGGACUUCUGACAAAGCUAUAAUAUUUUGAAGGCAUAUUUACAAACUAAGAUGGAUGGUCUCUCUGAGGUAUAUCUCAAUCAGGACACAGACAAUGCAAUGUGAUUUCUUCUAUGUUAAGAAGCUCAAGAAUUGUAAUUGUAAUAAGAAUACUGAAAUUAUUAAACUAUUUUUCUUCCAA